ACGAUCUUUGUCAGUCUCCUCGCAGCAGAAUGACUGUUGUCUUCUAGAUCUGUUGAGAUGGGCUGCGGCGCAGAGGACACGCUCAACACCCCCGGGACCGCGUCCGCUUACUAGGAAGCUGAACACUGGGAGGAACUCCUCCCGAUCCCGGUCACCUCCUCCUCCUCCACCGCCGGCCUCGUUAGGCCGGGGAAUGUCCCGCCGGCGAGAUGCCUUAUGUGGACCGACAGAACCGCAUCUGUGGCUUCCUGGACAUCGAGGAGAACGAGAACAGCGGCAAGUUCCUGCGACGGUACUUCAUCCUGGACACGCAGCAGGGGAGCUUGGUGUGGUUCAUGGAUAACCCUCAGAACCUGCCCUUGGGUGCAGACUGUGUUGGUUCACUCAAGCUCACCUACAUCUCGAAGGUCAGCGAUGCCACUAAGCUGAGGCCCAAAGCAGAGUUUUGCUUUGUCAUCAAUGCUGGGAUGAGGAAGUUCUUCCUUCAGGCCAACGAUCAGCAGGACCUGGUGGACUGGGUCAGCGCCCUCAACAAAGCAACCAAGAUCACUGUGCCAAAGUCGUCCGAAAACCAGCAAAAUUCAGAAAACCAGAAGUCUUUGCCAGACGUCGUAGGGUCCAAGAAACAAGUCUCCUAUAGGACAGACAUAAUUGGAGGAGUCCCCAUCAUCACCCAAACCCAGCAUGAAGGCGGUGACGGAGCAAACCGAUCGGAGCGUGAGGCCUUGCAGCGCUCCCACAGUCAGCUGCCGUACCUCCUGGGGAGGUCGGCUCAGGAACACAGCGUCAUCAAGUCUGGCUACUGCGUGAAGCAAGGAGCCGUCAUGAGGAACUGGAAGCGCCGCUACUUCCUCCUGGAGGAAAACGCAAUGAGCUACUUCAAGUCAGACUUGGAGAAGGAGCCUCUGAGAAUGAUCCCUCUAAAGGAGGUUCACAAAGUCCAGGAGUGCAAACAGAGUGACAUCAUGAUGAGAGAUAAUCUGUUCGAAGUCGUCACCACAUCAAGGACGUUUUACAUCCAGGCGGACAGUCCAGAGGAGAUGCACAGCUGGAUAAAGGCGGUCUCAGGGGCCAUCGUGGCCCAGCGGGGACCUGGGAGAUCAGCUGCCACAAUGCGGCAGGCCAGACGGCUGUCGAACCCCUGUAUACAGAGGUAUACAUCUCGAAUCGGGGAGUGCAGCAGCACUCUGCUGCAGCUGUGCACCUGUCUUAGAUGUGUGACAUCCUGCUUGUCUCUCCUCUUCCCUCCUGUUCGCUGCCUGUAUGUUUCACCUUCCUCUUUCUCACACACGUGGUAACGACCUGUUGACUUGUCUUGUUUCUAUGUGCGCUAAAUGUUUACACUUUUUGACCGAUGCAUACCAAACUGGAAUCGUUGAAUCUGCGUGUCUAAAACUGCAGACUCAGGGUUGUUCCCUAAUGCUGAGGAGGAUCCCGCUCUUUUAGGUCUGUUAGUUUUAUUAGAACCAUUGGGUUAAAUCUCUUCAUCCCAACUAUUCACAAUUCAAUGCGAGGAUCUUCCUGAACUCCCCUGAGUCAUUGAGCUUGAGCUGCUUUUGGGCGUUUUUAUGCAAUAUAACGAUUAAAGGAUUGCUGGCACAACUGGUAAAGAUGUGUAAAAACAUUUAAAAUAAAUCAUUUAAUUGCAACAGCAGAUUCUCACUGUAAAAAGUGGAGAAAGAUCCAUCCUUAAUUAGAAGAGGAGAAAUCCCCUGUUAAGAAGUAAUGUUAACAAAGUCACUAGUGCCACAGAUCUAGGUUCCCCAGCAGUCUGUGUGUUUUACAACAUUUUAUGGUUAAGGUCCACUUCAGAUUGUCCCUAGGCCCAUACCCUCUCUUAAACGAUCCUUUCUGUAUCUCACCUAAAAGCGUUCCUGUGAUUAUGAACCGGGGACUAAGAUGGCUAUGGAAGGAGGCUGAGUUUGUCUGUCAAUGUGGCCGUGUGAUUUGGUUAAUUAUUCUCCUGAAAGGCGCACUGGUCACCUAUUACUGGUAGACUUAAUCAGAUUUUUUUUUAUUAUUAUUUUGAAGAUAUCCCUGAGGUUUAAAAAAAAAAAAAAAAAAAACGUUCUCGGGGCUCUGCACUUUUAACACGGCUCACCAGGUCUUUGGAAGUGAAACAGCUUAACAAACUGUUCCUAACAGGGCUUUCAAAUGCUUUGGCAAAUAAUCUUUAGGGUUUGUGAUCAUAAAUUUCUGUUUUUAGCAUCAGUUGAUCAAAGGUAAAGUCGCUGUAGAGGUUAGUAAACUCCACGUUUGUGAUGGGCUAAUUGAAAAAGUAUUUUUCUGCCAUCACUCCCAAACAACCAGUUGAGCUGUAGAAAGUCUCUAAUGGCUUGUUAUAGAGACGUGUUGACACUAAGAAGGCCCUCUUCACUGUGAUGACACACACACACAAACACACACACACACACACACACACAUAUUCCUGCUUACCCUAUUAGAUGGUAAAAUAGUGGAAAAGAUCUUUCUUCGUUAGUUAUUCCUCAGGGAAACCCUAAAAAGUCUUAGAUUAAUUAUUAGAAACUCCUAAAAAUAUUGAUUAACUUUAAACAGUAAAGGAUAAAUCAAUGAGAAAAUUCUUAGAUUUUGUUUAUAGAUUGUUAGGGGGUACAAAUAAUGAUGCAAAUGCAGUUUAUGGUAAAAGCAACAAUUUCCUAAUCUGGGAUUAUUAUUACUUCUUUUGUCACAUUGACUAAAAGUUGUCAGUGUGGGAUUACGAUACCUCAGAAGAUGAAUUUCGAUCUUUUUACACAUCUUUGCCAGGGAUAAAAACAUUUUUUUUUGCUGCAGUCUAAUUUUGAUUUUUAAAUGCGUUACUAUAAAGAUCAGCCAGCGUCUGAGCUAGCGGAGGCACAAAUUGUCCCCCCAGCGCUGUUGCAUGAGACAACGUUGUGUUUUUAAAUGACAGAAGCUCAGAGGCGCCGGGUUGCCGCUCUGCAGUCUUGUGUUGCUCUAACGCCGCCAUGUUUGUCUUGCUAAAACCUCCGCCGGCUGCUCGGGCCGCUGCCACUUCUCUGCUUUCACCGUCUCUGCUGUGUUCUCUGUCCUCCCCUGCUUCCGUUUCUCUUUCAGAGACUGAAAAGUGACUAUGAAAAGCUGUGAAAUAAUAAGCAACCACCAAAACACUACUUCCAAAGGCGCUCUCUUUUACAUUUCCAUUGCAACCUAAACCUGCUGACACUCCUAUCGCUGCUCCCACCACUGUCUCCAGUCUUAAUUCCACACUCUUCAGCUGCUCCAACCCUCAGGCCGCUUCAGACGCCACAUGCCGGAACACAGCAACCGCUCCACGUUCUACCGGAGCCCAGCGGGUCCCCCCGUCCCUCGCUCGCCCAUAUCUGCCGUGCCACCAUGCCACCCAGAGCGG